AUUGAACGCUGGCGGCAGGCCUAACACAUGCAAGUCGAGCGGAUGAAGGGAGCUUGCUCCUGGAUUCAGCGGCGGACGGGUAAGUAAUGCCUAGGAAUCUGCCUGGUAGUGGGGGAUAACGUCCGGAAACGGGCGCUAAUACCGCAUACGUCCUGAGGGAGAAAGUGGGGGACCUUCGGACCUCACGCUAUCAGAUGAGCCUAGGUCGGAUUAGCUAGUUGGUGGGGUAAAGGCCUACCAAGGCGACGAUCCGUAACUGGUCUGAGAGGAUGAUCAGUCACACUGGAACUGAGACACGGUCCAGACUCCUACGGGAGGCAGCAGUGGGGAAUAUUGGACAAUGGGCGAAAGCCUGAUCCAGCCAUGCCGCGUGUGUGAAGAAGGUCUUCGGAUUGUAAAGCACUUUAAGUUGGGAGGAAGGGCAGUAAGUUAAUACCUUGCUGUUUUGACGUUACCAACAGAAUAAGCACCGGCUAACUUCGUG
rnacentral:rRNA from 1 species